UACGUAGGCAGCAAGCGUUGUUCGGAGUGACUGGGCGUAAAGGGUGCGUAGGCGGCUUCUUAAGUCUGGUGUGAAAUCUCCCGGCUCAACUGGGAGGGUGCGCCGGAUACUGAGGGGCUAGAGUGUGGGAGAGGAAAGUGGAAUUCCUGGUGUAGCGGUGAAAUGCGUAGAUAUCAGGAGGAACACCGGUGGUGUAAACGGCUUUCUGGACCAUAACUGACGCUGAGGCACGAAAGCGUGGGUAGCAAACAGG
rnacentral:rRNA from 1 species